GAUGAACGCUGGCGGCGUGCCUAAUACAUGCAAGUCGAGCGAACAGACGAGGGGCUUGCUUCUCUGAUGUUAGCGGCGGACGGGUGAGUAACACGUGGAUAACCUACCUAUAAGACUGGGAUAACUUCGGGAAACCGGAGCUAAUACCGGAUAAUAUAUUGAACCGCAUGGUUCAAUAGUGAAAGACAGUCUUGCUGUCACUUAUAGAUGGAUCCGCGCUGCAUUAGCUAGUUGGUAAGGUAACGGCUUACCAAGGCAACGAUGCAUAGCCGACCUGAGAGGGUGAUCGGCCACACUGGAACUGAGACACGGUCCAGACUCCUACGGGAGGCAGCAGUAGGGAAUCUUCCGCAAUGGGCGAAAGCUUGACGGAGCAACGCCGCGUGAGUGAUGAAGGUCUUCGGAUCGUAAAACUCUGUUAUUAGGGAAGAACAUAUGUGUAAGUAACUGUGCACAUCUUGACGGUACCUAAUCAGAAAGCCACGGCUAACUACGUG
rnacentral:rRNA from 1 species